rnacentral:rRNA from 1 species
UGGCUCAGGACGAACGCUGGCGGCGUGCCUAACACAUGCAAGUCGAGCGGAGAUGAUGUGAGGAAGUUUUCGGAUGGAAUCACAUUAUUUAGCGGCGGACGGGUGAGUAACGCGUGAGCGACCAACCUUGCACAGGGGAUAACGGACCGAAAGGUUCACUAAUACCGCAUGAGACCACGGUGUUGCAUGACACAGAGGUCAAAGGAGGAAUCCGGUGCAAGACGGGCUCGCGUCCGAUUAGGUAGUUGGAGGGGUAACGGCCCACCAAGCCUAUGAUCGGUAGCCGACCUGAGAGGGUGAUCGGCCGCAUUGGAACUGAGAUACGGUCCAAACUCCUACGGGAGGCAGCAGUGGGGAAUAUUGGGCCAAUGGGGGAAACCCUGACCCAGCAACGCCGCGUGAAGGAAGAAGGUUUUCGGAUUGUAAACUUCUGUCCUUGGUGAAGAGAAGAAGACGGUAGCCAAGGAGGAAGCCCCGGCUAACUACGUGCCAGCCGCCGC